rnacentral:rRNA from 1 species
CCUACGGGUGGCAGCAGUGAGGAAUAUUGGUCAAUGGACGAGAGUCUGAACCAGCCAAGUAGCGUGAAGGAUGACUGCCCUAUGGGUUGUAAACUUCUUUUAUAUGGGAAUAAAACGUUCCACGUGUGGGAUUUUGUAUGUACCAUAUGAAUAAGGAUCGGCUAACUCCGUGCCAGCAGCCGCGGUAAUACGGAGGAUCCGAGCGUUAUCCGGAUUUAUUGGGUUUAAAGGGAGCGUAGGUGGGUUGUUAAGUCAGUUGUGAAAGUUUGCGGCUCAACCGUAAAAUUGCAGUUGAAACUGGCAGUCUUGAGUACAGUAGAGGUGAGCGGAAUUCGUGGUGUAGCGGUGAAAUGCUUAGAUAUCACGAAGAACUCCGAUUGCGAAGGCAGUUCACUGGACUGCAACUGACACUGAGGCUCGAAAGUGUGGGUAUCAAACAGGAUUAGAUACCCUUGUAGUC